rnacentral:rRNA from 1 species
UACGUAGGGCGCAAGCGUUGUCCGGAAUUAUUGGGCGUAAAGAGCUCGUAGGCGGCUUGUCGCGUCGGUUGUGAAAGCCCGGGGCUUAACCCCGGGCCUGCAGUCGAUACGGGCAGGCUAGAGUUCGGUAGGGGAGAUCGGAAUUCUUGGUGUAGCGGUGAAAUGCGCAGAUAUCAGGAGGAACACCGAUGGCGAAGGCAGGUCUCUGGGCCACUACUGACGCUGAGAAGCGAAAGCAUGGGGAGCGAACAGG